AGUGAACGCUGGCGGUAGGCCUAACACAUGCAAGUCGAACGGCAGCACAGUAAGAGCUUGCUCUUACGGGUGGCGAGUGGCGGACGGGUGAGGAAUACAUCGGAAUCUACUUUUUCGUGGGGGAUAACGUAGGGAAACUUACGCUAAUACCGCAUACGACCUACGGGUGAAAGCAGGGGAUCUUCGGACCUUGCGCGACUGAAUGAGCCGAUGUCGGAUUAGCUAGCUGGCGGGGUAAAGGCCCACCAAGGCGACGAUCCGUAGCUGGUCUGAGAGGAUGAUCAGCCACACUGGAACUGAGACACGGUCCAGACUCCUACGGGAGGCAGCAGUGGGGAAUAUUGGACAAUGGGCGCAAGCCUGAUCCAGCCAUACCGCGUGGGUGAAGAAGGCCUUCGGGUUGUAAAGCCCUUUUGUUGGGAAAGAAAAGCAGCAGGUUAAUACCCCGCUGUUCUGACGGUACCCAAAGAAUAAGCACCGGCUAACUUCGUG
rnacentral:rRNA from 1 species